rnacentral:snoRNA from 1 species
ACCCUCCAGAUACUUUACCCCUCAGAGCAAAAUAUUGGCCCGCGUGGCUAAAAAAGAGGGGAAAAGUCAAACUGAAGUGGGCUUGGAGUGUUAAUGACAUACAAGUUCAUUUCAAACAAAG